CAGCCGCCGCGGUAAUACGGAGGGUGCAAGCGUUAAUCGGAAUUACUGGGCGUAAAGCGCGCGUAGGUGGUUUGUUAAGUUGGAUGUGAAAUCCCCGGGCUCAACCUGGGAACUGCAUUCAAAACUGACUGACUAGAGUAUGGUAGAGGGUGGUGGAAUUUCCUGUGUAGCGGUGAAAUGCGUAGAUAUAGGAAGGAACACCAGUGGCGAAGGCGACCACCUGGACUAAUACUGACACUGAGGUGCGAAAGCGUGGGGAGCAAACAGGAUUAGAUACCCGCGUAGUCUCUGUCUCUUAUAA
rnacentral:rRNA from 1 species